GACGUAGGGUGCAAGCGUUGUCCGGAAUUAUUGGGCGUAAAGAGUUCGUAGGCGGUUUACUAAGUCUAGUGUUAAAGACUGGAGCUCAACUCCAGCAUGGCAUUGGAAACUGGUAGGCUAGAGUGUGGUAGAGGCAAGGGGAAUUCCCGGUGUAGCGGUGAAAUGCGUAGAUAGUCGGGAGGAACCAAUCGAUCGAAGGCAGCUCGCUGGGACGUCACUGACGCUGAGACGCGAAAGCGUGGGGAGCGAACAGG
rnacentral:rRNA from 1 species